GUAGGUGGCAAGCGUUGUCCGGAAUUAUUGGGCGUAAAGCGCGCGCAGGCGGUUCUUUAAGUCUGAUGUGAAAGCCCACGGCUCAACCGUGGAGGGUCAUUGGAAACUGGAGAACUUGGGUACAGAAGAGGAAAGCGGAAUUCCACGUGUAGCGGUGAAAUGCGUAGAGAUGUGGAGGAACACCAGUGGCGAAGGCGGCUUUCUGGUCUGUAACUGACGCUGAGGCGCGAAAGCGUGGGGAGCAAACAGGGAUUAGAUACCCUGGUAGUCCACGCCGUAAACGAUGAGUGCUAAGUGUUAGGGGGUUUCCCGCCCCUUAGUGCUGCAGCUAACGCAUUAAGCACUCCGCCUGGGGAGUACGGCCGCAAGGCUG
rnacentral:rRNA from 1 species